GAGAAAAGCACUGUAGCAAGAUUAAAGACUGCUUUAAAUUCUUUUUGCAAUGAGAUUGGCCAUAAAUCAAGAGAAACCUCUUUUUAGCCCUUUCUAAAAGUUCUCAAAGCAGCCCAUGUCUCCGUCUAGUUCUGCAGUUGUGUAUUGUGCAACACUUAAAACCAAUUCUGUUCCAGGUUUGUGCACCGAUUUGCACAGGACUGCUGUUGAGGAGGUACCAGGCUAGGACUGACAGACCAGCUCUGAGGACAGACAGCAGCUGAAAAGCCUCUCAAAGGAAUAGCCAGAAGUAACUGCAGCACAGUGAGGGCACAGACUGUGUAGAGCGCUUUUUGAUUUUCAGAUAAAAGGCACUGUAGAAGUGAAAAGUA